GGGGGCGUGAUGGAAUGGUAGACAUAACAGAUUUAAAAUCUGUUGAUUAUUUUUAAUCGUGAGGGUUCAAGUCCCUCCGCCCCCA
rnacentral:tRNA from 1 species